rnacentral:rRNA from 1 species
AUGGGGUCGGAGGGGCCGGGGCAUGGGUUCGGAUCCGGGGCGGCGGAGCGGGACAUCGACGAUCUCCCGCGGAACGACGCCAACUACACGGCGCUGACGCCGCUCUGGUUCCUCGAGCGGGCCGCCCUGGCCCAGCCGGACAGGGCGUCCGUCGUGCACGGCCCGGUCCGGUACACCUGGGCCGAGACCUACCGCCGGUGCCGCCGCCUCGCCUCUGCACUGGCGCGCCGAUCUGUCGGCCACGGCUGCACUGUUGCUGUGAUAGCUCCAAAUGUUCCGGCAGUGUACGAAGCUCACUUCGGUGUUCCAAUGUCUGGAGCUGUGGUGAACUGUGUAAACAUCCGGUUAAAUGCUGAGACGAUCGCGUUCCUUCUUGAUCAUUCCGUGGCAGAAGUUGUGAUGGUGGACCAAGAAUUCUUUACCCUAGCCGAAGAAUCCCUGAAGAUAGUAUCAGAGAAGAAGAAACAGAAUUUUCAGCCUCCAAUCCUAAUUGUUAUCGGCGAUCCAACAUGCGAACCUAAGUCUCUACAAUACGCUCUAGGACAAGGGGCCAUUGAGUAUGAGGAGUUCCUGAAAACCGGUGACCCAGAAUUCAAUUGGAAGCCACCUAAGGAUGAAUGGCAGAGCAUUGCCUUAGGUUACACUUCUGGGACUACUUCAAGCCCAAAAGGUGUCGUGUUGCACCACCGUGGCGCCUACCUCAUGGCGCUCAGUGUUGCUAUGGUGUGGGGAAUGCCUGAAGGGGCUGUUUAUCUGUGGACUUUGCCUAUGUUCCAUUGUAAUGGUUGGUGUUACACCUGGGCGUUGGCUGCCUUCUGCGGAACCAGCAUAUGUCUUCGUCAGGUGAGCACAAAGGCUAUAUACACUGGAAUUGCAAAACAAGGAGUGACACAUUUCUGCGCUGCGCCGGUCGUCAUGAACAACCUCAUCAACGCUCCUGCAAGCGAGACCUUCCUGCCACUCCCCCGUGUGGUCAAUGUAAUGCUGGCCGGAGCCGCCCCGACACCGUCGCUUCUUGCGGCGCUCUCUAUCCGAGGUUUCCGUGUCACCCACACUUACGGUCUGUCUGAGACUUAUGGCCCGUCGACCUUGUGCGUGUGGAAGCCCGAGUGGGACGACCUGCCGCUGGAGGAGCGCUCCCGUCUGCACUGCCGGCAGGGCAUCAGGUACACCGCGCUGGAAGGCCUGGACGUGGUUGAUCCGAAGACGAUGGUCCCCGUCCCGGCCGACGGCAAGUCCUACGGGGAGAUCGUGAUGAGGGGCAACGCCGUGAUGAAGGGGUACCUGAAGAACCCCAAGGCCAACGCGGAGGCGUUCGCGCACGGCUGGUACCACUCCGGCGACCUCGGCGUGAAGCACCCCGACGGGUACAUCGAAGUCAAGGACCGGAUGAAGGACAUCAUCAUCUCCGGCGGGGAGAACAUCAGCACCCUGGAGGUGGAGAAGGUGGUGUACAUGCACCCGGCGGUCCUGGAGGCCUCGGUGGUCGCCAGGGCCGACGAGCGCUGGGGGGAGUCGCCCUGUGCCUUCGUUACCCUCAAGGAAGGGGCCGGUGGCUCCGACGAGGUGGCGCUGGCGAACGACAUCAUGAGGUUCUGCCGGGAAAGGAUGCCGGGCUACUGGGUCCCGAAGUCGGUCGUGUUCGGGCCGUUGCCCAAGACGGCGACGGGGAAGAUCAAGAAGCACGAGCUGAGGGCCAAGGCCAAGGAGCUUGGCCCUGUGAAGAAGAGCAGGAUGUGA